rnacentral:lncRNA from 1 species
AACAGCACUAUCUCUGUAGUCGCUUGUUACUUUCUUGACCUCUAAACUAAGUAAUCUGUGCUCAAGUCUUUUUUGUUUUUCUGUAGGAAACGCAUUUCCAGAAAGCUGAAGAGCAUUCAGUUCCUUCCUGGCAGACACUAGAGGUCGCUACUGAACCACAAAGCACAAGGCCCGUCAGUGGAACCCUUAUGCAAAGGCAUCGCCCAUGACAAGAAUGAUGGCCUUAUAUUCGGAGGGGUGGGAAGGGAGUGAGCUGUGGAGAAAAACUACAGUUUUAGAAGAAACUUGAGCAGUUUCUACUUUCUGAGGGUGGCUGUCACCUGCGGGUGUUUCGAAAUAUCAACCUGAAAUCUGAACAAACACCCAGGGACUUGAGAGUUUCCACUUGGUUUUCAGAUUUUUAUCUUUGGUAGAACAUCCUAAGCUUCUCACAGCCCGAAGCAGUGGAAACACAACAAAACAAAAUUCAGCAAAGAUAGACUAUGUGGCGGUGGCUACACAUCCUGCAGAGAAAUUAUCUUCCCUCUGGAUUUCAUUUUGGUAGUUCAGAAUUAGACUUGCGGUAACUGAGUGAUUGUUCUCAGUUGGAAUAUAUGCAAUUUAAGGUUACUCUGGGACUGAGAAGGCGACUUCACUGAGAAAGCAUUGGAACCUGAGUGCGGUCUCCAGUGCCUGUGUAAAAAGCCAGACAUGGCGACAUGUGUUUGUAAUCGCAGUGGUGUCAAGGCAGGAGGCAGGCACAUUAGACCCUGGAACUCCUGGUCCAGUGUCUUAGUCAGGGUUCUCUAGAGUCACAGAACUUAUGGAUAGUGUCUAUAUAUUAAGGGGAUUUGUUAUGAUGACUUAGAGUCUGUAGUCCAACUCCCCAACAAUGGUCAGCUGUGAAUGGGGAGUCCAAGGAUCUAGUAGUUGCUCAGUCCCACAAAGCUAGCAGAUCCAACAGAUGUGUUGGCAAGUCAAUGCAAGUAGGCGAAGAAGAGUGAAUCUUCCCUCUUUCAGUGUCCUUAUGUAGGUCUCCAGCAGAAGGUGUGGCCCAGAUUAAAGGUGAGUGUCACCAGACCUGGAUCUGGGACUUCUUUUGUUUCAGGAUGACCUUGAACUCAGAGAUCUCCUUGCCUUAGUCUCCUGGGAUUCAUAGCCACUAUGCCUCAAGAUCUCCAUGCUAAGAUCCAGGUCAGAAACUUGUAUCUCUCAGCCUUCCAAUUCUGGAUUGUAGCUCAUUCCAGAUAUACUCUAGUUGACAACCAGGAGUAACCAUUACACCCAGCUAGCCUAGUCUGCUUGGUGAAGUUCCAGGCCAAAUGAGAGAAGAGACCUCGUGUCAAACAAAAAGUACCAAAUGCCCGAGAAAUAUCACCUAAGGUUGUUCUCUGAUGUCCACAUAAGCACACACAUGUGCACUCCAUCCACUUUCCCACCCCCAUCCCCACCCUCACCCCCUGCACAACACAAUUCUAGUUUCUCAGUGCAUUGUCAGUCUCUUGAUCCAUUCAUGCUUGUUCUGACCUCUUCCCUGGUGCUUGGUUAAGUCCUUGAACUUCCUCUGACACCUCAGCUGGACAUGAAGUGGCCAGAUGAAUGGCCAGGUGAGCAACUAGGACUCUUGGUCGAGGAGGAAGUGACCAUUUCUGGUACUUGGAGUUCUUCCUGUUCUCACCCCACACUCCUUGCCUGUCUAGUGUCAGGGAAUUUGAGGGUCCUUUGUACUAUCACUUAAGUGCCUGACUUCUUGUCCCUGACCUCUUUUUCAGGACCUUCACUGGCUCCCAGACAGCUGUUUUCAUGUGGCAUCUACUCCUGACCCCAAGAUGGGAGAGGAGAAUGAACAAGGAAAAGGUGAUGGGAAAAAUCGUCCUGGACUUGAACGGUUAUACGUGGGUUUACUUGGGUAUUUCUGGUCUGGUAGGUGACUAAGGCUGGUGCUCACUCAUCAUGGGGUCCUGGAUGGGUCCACUUGAAAAUGGUUUAUCUGCUAAUAUUCUUCUUGCUAUGGACAGAAGCAUCUCUUUCGUGCUGCUGUGUGGUUUAUGAGCUCUUCCUUUUGCUAACCAAGAUAUAAGCACAUCCUGGACAGUGCUCUCUCAAUGGUCCACAAACUGUACACAGGAAGUACCCAUGUCUGAAGCAGUACUGGCUUUGUUAGAAGAGCCACGUUCUUGUUCUUUGUUGGCUAUGUCAAGAUAAAGUGGAAUAUUUCCAGCCCACGACCGUCAGAAGUACAAAUUAGUGUGAACAUAAAUUUUUAACUUUCUAUGAGAAAAGUGUGGCCACAGAAGUAGUUGUUGAUGCCCUGGACAAAGAAAGAGUGAAAGGAUUGUCUGGCCAAAAUCAGUGGUUGGAACAACAAACAAGGUUUUUCCAUGAAUCAAGGUGUCUUGACCCAGAGCAGAGUGCUCCUGCUGAGUAAGACCAAGGGGAACUGGAAAGAAGAAGUGCAAGUUUGUUCAAGAUGUAUUGUGGAUGCUAAUCUGAUUGUCCUCAACUUAGUCAAAUAUCCUUAAGAAAGAAGGACUUUUCUGGGACUGAUGGUGGUUGAGUCUCAAAAGAGCUAGAAAAGUCUGGAAGCUUUUCAGUUUCUGUCUUAGGGUUUUCUAUUGCUGGGACAAAACACCAUGAUCCAAAAAAGCAAGUUAAGGAGAAAAGGGUUGGUUUAUACUUCCAGAGAGUAGUCCAUCAUUGGAGGAAGUCAGAACAGGGCAGGAUUGGAAGCAGGAGCUGAUGCAGAAGGCAUGGAGGAGUGGUGCUUACUGCCUUGCUACCUCACGGCUUGCUCAACGUGCUUUCUUAUAGAACCCAGGACCACCGGUCCAGAGAUGGCCCCACCCACAGUGGGCUGAGCUCUCCCUCAUUGAUCACCAGUUGAGGCGAUCAAUACCUUACAACUGGGUCUCAUGGAAUCAUUUCCUCACCUGAGGAUCCUUCCUCUCUGAUGACUCCAGCGUGUGUCAUGUUGACACAUGAAACUAGCCAGUACGACACCUCUUUAAGGAAGAUGAUGUCUGUCGGCAUGUUGUCAGAAAGCCCAUAAGGAAUGUAGAAUGCACCUGGAAAAGCAGGGAGGAGUCUGCAGAAUGUGCUAAACGUUUGACCAUGAGAAUGAAGGAAGUCAGAGGGAAAAAACCUUAUCCCUUCAAAAGAAAUAAGUGUAUUUCACUUUUCCAGUACCUUUGACUGGGAUCCAAGGAACAGUCCUCAUCCCUUUUGGGACGAUGGUGUCUGGAUGUAAGAACAGUUAGGAAAGGAAUAGACGUGGAGGUGUGCUAAGAACUCUGCCAAGCAUUUGCCAGACUGUGUCUCUGAGCCAGUUUCCCUAGAUGUGGAACCAGCUAUGACCUAAUGUUUGGAGAGUCUUUUAAAACGGUCUAGUCAAUCACAGCCAUUGGUCAUUGAUUUGUUUGGAAGCCUAGAUAUCAGCGUGGAGUCGAACCUCAUGCCAAGGAGCUCAGGUUCAAGUUUCCACUGUUAACUUGUGUGAUCUGAGGUUAGUGGCUGUCACCUGUCACCACAAGUUUUUUCCUUCUUAUUUUCAAGUAAAUAUAUUGAUAAAUGAUUGCAGAGGUUUUGGUGAGAGUCAGAGGACACUGUCAAAACUAUUUAUAGUCUAAAAUAUGAAGCAGAUAUUAACAAUAAACCAUACAGAAAAUAUUUGUCAUAAAAAAACCAAGGGGAAAUGAGGCUCUGUUUUCAGUAAAGUAGACAGGAGUUAAAAGUGUGUAGCUUAUUAUUUUUAAGGGUCAAGAGUCUUCAUGUACUUGAAUGUCUCCAGGUGGGGGACCCAGUGUGUGUGUGGGUCUCUGUUUGGCAGCAGCAGGAGGCUGGGUAUCUGUGCAAGGGCAAGAGGGAGAAGACAGCUGAACACAACUGAGAGGAUUGAAGUUGGCCCCUUAUCUGGAGAGUGGCAUCAGCGAGUACCUAUGCAUGGAAAGAAUUUCUCACUGACAUUUUAGCUUCUUAGGAUUUUCAUUCAUAUUGGAACCAGAAAACAUUCAAACUAGAGGGGACCACGGCUGUCUCUGCUGACUCUUUUACUUGAGGUGAUGGAAUAACUUGCUCAAGAUUUCACAGAAAGGUUCAAGAACAAAGGACAUUCCUUCCCACAGGCUGCUCACACCGAGAGAUGGAUUCUCUUUUUCAACAUCUGUAAACAUUUUCAUCUGGAACAAGGGAAACACACAUGUUGCUUUUGGUCAUAGCCAGAGUUCAGAGUGUCCUAGUUAGCUUUGACCAUAAACCCGACACAGUCUAGAAUCACUGGAGAUAAGCCUCAGCUGAGGAGUUGUCUACAUCAGAUUGGCCUGUGGACAUGUCUGUAGGGGACUGUCAUGUGAGGCAGGGAACAGAGAAUAGACACUGGUCAAAGUGAGCAGAAACAGAGUGAGAAGCAGGAAGGAAUGUGUGCAUCUGGUGGGAAGUAAAGAGUCAACGUGAAAGCAACAAACAGGCUUGCCUUAGGGUUUUACUGCUGUGAACAGACACUGUGACCAAGGCAACUCUUAUAAAGGAUUUAUACUUAAUUGGGGCUGGGUUACAGGUUCAGAGAUUCAGUCCAUUAUCAUAUAAAUGGGAGCAUGGCAGUGUCCAGGCAGGCAUGGUAUGGGAGGAGCUCAGAGUUCUAUAUCUUCAUCUUAAGGCUGCUAGGAAAAGACUGACUCUUUUGUACUGGGUGGAACUUCAAAGCCCACCCUCAUGGUGACACAUUUCCUCCAAUAAGGCCAUACCUUCUAACAGUACCUCUCCC